AAAACUAUCUCCUCUUCCUACUGUAUAUUCAUGAAAAAUGUCUUUAUAUCAGACACUCAUUAUAACAUCACAUAUCUUCCUUUCUCCCUGUUAUAACCCGCGAUGUUCUGCGGGUAUGUUUUGUGUGUGUGCGCUUAGUCUGUGCAGAUUGGUCCAUUCCAUACUCCAGUCCGGGCCUUCCUACUCUGGCUCAGCUGCUGCUCCAUCACCGUUGUGUUGCGGCUUCCGCCCCAAGAUGACGUCAUCGAUAGGCGACAGUAUUUGGAGGCGACGAAAGCCAGUGCCCCCAGUUUUGAAUUAUCGAUGCUCACCCCAUUGCAUUUGUGGUUGUGCGUGUUAGUCCGCUCCGUGUUUCUGUUGUGAUAUUUCUGGUUUUGAUCUGUGCCUUAGUUUUUGUCUGCUGCCUAGAUUUGUAAAUAGUCACGCUGCUCUCUCUCUCUCCCUAUAUAUAUAGCAGAGUGAUUAUUUACAAAUAAGAGAGAAGUAGUAUAAGGAUCACAUCACUGCCUAUACAAAAGCAGUCAUCCUUUAUUUAAUUUGAGUUGACCAUAUUCUAAUCUCAACUGUUUUAAGACUGAAGUUUGUGACACUGUAUGGAAAAAAUAUCUGCCCUCUAUGUGAUAAACUUGAAAUGCGGUUCAUUGGAAAAAUCCUGAGAGAAGCACCAAGGCUGGAUGAGGCAAAGUCCUGUCAAAGCAGAUGGGGAAGGUCACCCAGAAAAAGAUUACAUCAGUCAACGCUCGUGUCUCCAGUCUACUAAAGAAACUACUGGACUUUGAGUGAAACUUUAUAUAACUGUCCAGUUUAGGUGAACCAGUUGUACAUUGGAGAAACUAAGAAAGAGCUCAUCUACACUCUUCGAACUUUGGAACCCCAAAGAAUGUAUCUAAUGUUUUGAGAACAGCUGUUGACAUUGGCCAACAUUUCAAAUCUGUAUUGGUUUAUGUCCACACAAAUGAUGAAGGACUUUUGUCUGAAAAGUCCUGUUUCUCUGGAAACUUUGUAUACUACACCUAACCUUUAUUAUAAUCUACUAUUAUACUACUAGUACUUCCAGUAUUCUUCUUCAGAAUUUAUAUAUAGCUCAUGAUCCAAAGUAUACCAUAUCAUGUGUCAAACAUGGUGGAGGCAGUGUUAUGGCAUGGGCAUGUAUGGCUGCCAAUGGAAUGGGCUCACUGGUGUUUAUUGAUGAUGUGACUGCUGACAGAAGUAGCAAGAUGAAUUCUGAGGUGUAUAGGGCUAUACUCUCUGCUCACAUUCAGCCAAAUGCUACAAAACUGAUAGAACGCCACUUCACAGUGCAGGUGGAUAAUGACCCUAAACAUACUGCGAAAACAACUCAAGACUUUUUGAAGGCAAAGAAAUGGAAUAUUCUUCAAUGGCCAAGUCAGUCGCCUGAUCUCAACCCAAUAGAGCAUGCUUUUCACUUACUGAAGACAAGACUGAAGGCAGAAAGAUCCAAAAACAAGCAGCAACUGAAAGUGGCUGCAGUGAAGGCCUGGCAAAGCAUCUCCAGGGAGGAAACUCAAAAUUUGAGUUUUGAGAACAUGGGCUCCAGACUUCAGGCAGUCAUUGACUGCAAAGGAUUUUCAUCCAAGUAUUAAAAUUAUGGUUAUAUUUACAAUUAUGUCACUUUGUCCAAAUACCUUUGAGCCCCUGAAAAUGGAGGUACUUGAAAAUGGCUGUAAUUCCUAAAUGGUAAAUGCCAUAUUUUUGUGGAACCCCUUAAAAUAAAGCUGAAAGUCUAUACUUUGAUCACAUCUUGAUUGUUUUAUUUCAAAUCCAUUGUGGUGGUGUAUAAAGGCAAAAUCAUAAAAACUGUCAUUCUCCAAAUACUUCUGGACCUAACUGUGUGUGUGUGUGUGUGUGUAUAUAUAUAUACACUAUAUUACCAAAAGUAUUCGGUCACCUGCCUUGAUUCACAUAUGAACUUAAGUGCCAUCCCAUUCCUAACCCA